rnacentral:rRNA from 1 species
GUGCCAGCAGCCGCGGUAAUACGUAGGAUGCAAGCGUUGUCCGGAAUUACUGGGCGUAAAGAGCGCGCAGGCGGCCCUUUAAGUUGGGCGUGAAAUCUCUCGGCUUAACCGGGAGCGGUCGUCCAAAACUGGAGAGCUAACGAGGGUAGGAGAGGAAAGUGGAAUUCCCGGUGUAGUGGUGAAAUGCGUAGAUAUCGGGAGGAACACCCGUGGCGAAGGCGACUUUCUGGCCUACUCCUGACGCUGAGGCGCGAAGGCUAGGGUAGCGAACGGGAUUAGAUACCCCGGUAGUCCUAGCAGUAAACGAUGGAUACUAGGUGUUGGUGGUAUUGACCCCACCAGUGCCGAAGCUAACGCAUUAAGUAUCCCGCCUGGGGAGUACGACCGCAAGGUUAAA